rnacentral:rRNA from 1 species
CCUACGGGCGGCUGCAGUGGGGAAUAUUGCACAAUGGGCGCAAGCCUGAUGCAGCCAUGCCGCGUGUGUGAAGAAGGCCUUCGGGUUGUAAAGCACUUUCAGCGGGGAGGAAGGCGUUAAGGUUAAUAACCUUGGCGAUUGACGUUACCCGCAGAAGAAGCACCGGCUAACUCCGUGCCAGCAGCCGCGGUAAUACGGAGGGUGCAAGCGUUAAUCGGAAUUACUGGGCGUAAAGCGCACGCAGGCGGUCUGUCAAGUCGGAUGUGAAAUCCCCGGGCUCAACCUGGGAACUGCAUUCGAAACUGGCAGGCUAGAGUCUUGUAGAGGGGGGUAGAAGUCCAGGUGUAGCGGUGAAAUGCGUAGAGAUCUGGAGGAAUACCGGUGGCGAAGGCGGCCCCCUGGACAAAGACUGACGCUCAGGUGCGAAAGCGUGGGGAGCAAACAGGAUUAGAUACCCGGGUAGUC